rnacentral:snRNA from 1 species
GCUGCCAGCAUGAUCUGG